AUUGAACGCUGGCGGCAGGCCUAACACAUGCAAGUCGAGCGGAUGAAGGGAGCUUGCUCCUGGAUUCAGCGGCGGACGGGUGAGUAAUGCCUAGGAAUCUGCCUGGUAGUGGGGGAUAACGUCCGGAAACGGGCGCUAAUACCGCAUACGUCCUGAGGGAGAAAGUGGGGGAUCUUCGGACCUCACGCUAUCAGAUGAGCCUAGGUCGGAUUAGCUAGUUGGUGGGGUAAAGGCCUACCAAGGCGACGAUCCGUAACUGGUCUGAGAGGAUGAUCAGUCACACUCGGAAUGAGACACGGUGCAGACACCUAUGCGAGAGACCAGAGGGGAGUAUAGUGCAAUGGGGGCGAACCUGAUCCAGACAUGCGCCGUGUGUGAAGAAGGUCUUCGGAUUGUAAAGCACUUUAAGUUGGGAGGAAGGGCAGUAAGUUAAUACCUUGCUGUUUUGACGUUACCAACAGAAUAAGCACCGGCUAACUUCGUG
rnacentral:rRNA from 1 species